AAUACAUCUAAAAUAAAUUAGAGCAAGGAACAAGCAGGCUAUGUUUAAACACAGAGCUCACUGGUCAUGUGGGAUCCAAUUUAAUGAGAAGGGACAUAAAGCAAUUUCCCAUCAAUGGAAGUCCCCAUCACCCAGUCCUGGAGUUUUCCUGAAAGGCAAAGCAACCUCCUUCUGAAUCUUCAAACACCAUGGCCCUGAGCGUGCUGUAUUUGUCUUUAUUUAUGACAGCCACACACUAUCUCAUGGCAGAAGACACCACUUAACCCAGGCAUCCCACAUGGAGGCUGUAUGUACUGGCAGAUUUUUAAUGACCAGGACCACUAUGGAUCAUAGAACAACUUGGAAGCUAGUUCUUUUUUUAAGCAUUGACAUCCAUCAAUCUUUCGCCUUUACCUAAUGCUGCAUUCAAAAGAAAUAUGUGGAGCAGCAGCAAAUUAAAGAAGACCAAAAUCUGAACCACUGCCAGGCUCUCUCCAUGGCCUCCUUUUCUUAUAGAGGUUGUCAGGGGAACAUUCAGCACAGCACGCCUGACUCCAGUGAACUCGGAGUUAAUGGACCCUGAAUGAGACUUCAGUACAUGAAGUACCUUCUAUCCUGGAAUAAGAUGAUGGACAUAUUAAUAGCACACAUACAGCUUUUGAGGCUGAAGAUUCAGGUCAAGUUAAUUGCUUUAAAAACCCAGUAAUUUAACCUACAGAAAAACAAUCACAUUGGUAAUAGCAGUCUUAAAUAUAGUUUUGUGUACUUUAAGACUUUAGUUAGUGUUUUUACACAAGAUGAGAGAAACUCAUGACAAAUACAAUGGCAGUGAAGAUUAAACAUCAGUAAAAGAAAAAGCACAUGCAAGAGAGAACAAAAAUGCUAAUAACCAAUUACAUCAGAUCCAGGAGAAAGUCAGCUAUAUAUUCUUGUUGAGAUUGAAACAAAAAUGUGAAGAUAAUGUAAUGGAGUUAAGAAGUGGUCAAUAGUUGAAUGCAUCCUAGGCCACUUAACAAAACCAGAAACUCUCAGCCGUAGGAGAAUGCAGAUGCCCUUUCUUUACCAAACAAGGGGAGAGCAAGGAAACAAGAAUGGAUCACAGGAUCUCAUCCUUAAAAAAGUACCCAUGGGAGAUGUGGACGUUCCUUGUCGGGAAACCAUCAGUACUAACUCUAUUUCAUGUACACAAAAUGAGAAUUUUGCCACAAACUUCUUGAACCGGAGAUAGUAGACAUAUUCAGCCUCUGGAUAGCCUACAUUAUAAAGAACAGAGAUUCAUCCCAUCUCCUUCUUUCCCCAACAAAAAUAUAAUCAUAUGAAAAGAAGUCAAGAGAACAAUUCUCCAACCUGAGAUUUCCUGUAUUUUUUAUUUUAUCUCCCUAUUGUUUCUUUUAUUUGUCGUUGUUUUCAUUCCAGUUUCAACCAGAGUCACAUUUGCUUCCUAAUCCAGUGCUUGUAAAUUUCUGUCUUCUUGGAUAAUUGUUGUUAAUAAUUGCUGUGGAUGAUUCUCUAACUUAGGAAGGUAUCUAGAUGAACCGUUUCUUUUUUCUGUGACCUGGUGCUGAAGGGCAUGUGUUGCCUGGGAAGUCAAUAAAAUGAGAUGAGCAUUAUAUCCUCAAUUGCUUUUCAAACAGUCCUUUGAUAUGCAACAGUCCUUUGCCCCUUUCUGAAUCAGCCCAUCCUCCAAGUGUUCCCAGGUCACAGCGCUGUCAGUACCCAUGGGACAGCAUAAAAGGAAGAGGUGUGUUACUUCUUUUCUUCCCUUGAAGUUUUUUUCUUUGGUUGGUUUAACCAUUAAAGAUAAGGUUUGAACUUAAUGAGCCUUUUAUUCG
rnacentral:lncRNA from 1 species